rnacentral:rRNA from 1 species
GACGAACGCUGGCGGCGUGCUUAACACAUGCAAGUCGAACGGAAAGGCCCUGCUUUUGUGGGGUGCUCGAGUGGCGAACGGGUGAGUAACACGUGAGUAACCUGCCCUUGACUUUGGGAUAACUUCAGGAAACUGGGGCUAAUACCGGAUAGGAGCUCCUGCUGCAUGGUGGGGGUUGGAAAGUUUCGGCGGUUGGGGAUGGACUCGCGGCUUAUCAGCUUGUUGGUGGGGUAGUGGCUUACCAAGGCUUUGACGGGUAGCCGGCCUGAGAGGGUGACCGGCCACAUUGGGACUGAGAUACGGCCCAGACUCCUACGGGAGGCAGCAGUGGGGAAUAUUGCACAAUGGGCGGAAGCCUGAUGCAGCAACGCCGCGUGCGGGAUGACGGCCUUCGGGUUGUAAACCGCUUCCGCCUGUGACGAAGCGUGAGUGACGGUAAUGGGUAAAGAAGCACCGGCUAACUACGUGCCAGCAGCCGCAGUAA